GCAUUGGUGGUUUAGCGGUAGAAUUCCUGCCUUCCACAUGGAAGACCUGGGUUCGAUUCCCAGCAGUGCA
rnacentral:tRNA from 1 species